rnacentral:lncRNA from 1 species
ACUCGAAGUUUUAUGCUAGCAUUUAAAGCUCCACCAAUGCUUCAACACAAUAAUUGGUUUAUGAAGACAAUAGCUAUCUAGAUCAACUCAUACCAUAGUUUGCACGAAAUUUCUGGACAACAAUAGUAUAUGAAUGUGAAUUUAUAGUUUAUACCACAGACUGCAUAAUAGCUUUCUGUCCAUAUGUGAUGCAUGACAUCAUAUAGCAUAAAACUUGCUUCCCUAAUGUUGUUAUUCCAGUUACAUUUACCUCAAAAUUAAUGACAGCAUUGUGUCUGCUUUUAGUCUGAUACAAGACAAAUCAACUUAAGGGCAAAAAAUAUACCCCUCAAUUAUGUUUCAUCUGUAUCAACAUGGAAUACCUGAGUCCAUUCUCUAUUUUCCCAGUGGCUAACUAUAGCCUAUUUGCUUGUACUAGAUCAUUCCAACUGAUUUUCAUGUUAACAUGAACCACUAUGCUAAUUAGUGUCAUGUUCUGUGGAUCCUAUACUAGAACAUAGAAUUUUUCAGAUACCACUAUUUGGUUGUUAUUUUUCAAUCCUUCCUUGGUCAUAAAGCCAAAGACUUACGCUAGAGACCAAUGUGUCUUUAAUUCAUGGACCAUAGGUUAAUUACAAUACCCCAAUUUCAAAUGUCAGCUAAGAAUUGUGAUCAAUGGCUCCUAAGGAGAUGAUAAAUUAGGACAACUGUAGAAAGGAAUCAGGUAACUAAAUCUCCACAAAUCAAAAAUAGGAUAAAAACCUCAAUAAUCUUUAUAAAUUAGGAUAAAAACAACAUCAUGUUGUUAUGAAACUUUUAAUAACAUCAAUUUGGGUUUGAAUCAUCUUUUAAAAAUAACGAAUAUGAUACCAAUAUCAUAUUUAUUUUAAAAAAAUAAAGUCAUGUCAUUCGUGAAGAACCAGCAACAAAGGAAACAAACCAAUGAGCUCCAGUAAUAUUUGGAAUCUGUAAGGACAUGUGGAAAUGAAAAAUGUUGGCGUUUGGCUAACUAACAAGAAUCAUAAUAAAAUUCAUUAACGUUCAAGCCUUGAAAUAAUAAAAAUUACAUGUUUUUUAACAAACAAGAUGAAUGUGAGGCACAUGUAUUGAAGUCAAAUUUAGACUCUCUCUUUUUUUCCAAGAUAGAAUAAUGGUAAAUAGUUACAAUCAUUACUACUACUUAAUUCAAGAUAGUAGGGCCUUCUUUUUACUUGGAAAGCCCAAUUGCCCUCCCCAUAACUUGAUCUUGAAAAUUACAAUGAGAUGGAAAGAGUUACAGUAUAUUUUAAAUCUCUAAUAAUUUAAAUCCCAAAGGCUUAUUGACAGGCAAGGUACAUGCAACACAGAUUUUAAAGAAAGGGUAUCCGUGCAACUGUCUUAGCUACUUUAAUUUUUCAAUUAAAGUACCAUCCAGCUACUUUAAUUUUUUGAUUUCCAAAACAUUAGCUAUAAGAUAUAAAAUGGUUAGAUGAGUUAGUCAUAUGGUUAGUGGCUACUAAAUCAAUCACCCAAGAUCCACACCAAUAAUCUUUCAAGGCAUUUAGAAUAUGAGAUGUAUAAUAUUUACCUGAAAACUCUAAAGCUUCUUAAUCUGUUGUUUAUUUAGUCCCCCAAUCUCAGAGUUAUUAGAAACCAAGCUUCCAUACAUAGAAGUAUCUUCAGAGUCUCAGACUCAGCGUAGUUUGCUUGACAUUGUUGUCCAUAUUCCGUACUGCUGUUGAAUUCCUUCUUAUUGUUUUUUUGUGUAACUUCUGACAUGUCUCUUUGUUAUGUCUCAAUUUCUUACAGUAAGCAUACCAAAGGCCACUUUGUUGUUUGGUGUUAUAGAUGUCUCUCCUUUCUCAGGAACCAUGUUAGAGCUCAAACCACUUAAGAUCUCAAAUGGCUCUUGAUUGUAGCAACUGCAGACCUUUCAGUUGUUGGAUUGUUUAGCAAUUAGUAUUAUAUAUACCUUUUUCCUUGCUCCAGCUCUAAUGAUAGAGAAGGCUCUAACUAGGGAAAACAGGUCUUUCACAAGUACUACUAAAAUAUGCACAUAGAUUAUAUUCUAUGUUGAAUCCAACCAAGAAUUCAGAAAACCUCUUUCAAGCUUCAACAAUCAUUGGUAGUAUAGUAGCAUCUUUGCUACAGUUCAUCUUUAACAUUUUGAUAAUAAUUGAAUUCAAGCUGAAAACAGGUCUUUCCCAAGUACUUAAAUAUGCACGUAGAUUAUAUUCUAUGUUAAAUCCAACCAAGAAUUUGGAAAACCUCUUUUAAGUUUCAACAAUCAUUAGUAAUAUAGCAGCAUCUUUGCUACAGUUCAUCUUAACAUUUUGUAAUAAUUGAAUUCAAUCCAUGAUCCUUUCACAC